rnacentral:rRNA from 1 species
GCCAGACUCUACGGGAGGCAGCAGUGGGGAAUAUUGCACAAUGGGGGAAACCUGAUGCAGCGACGCCGCGUGAGGGAUGACGGCCUCGGGUUGUAAACCUCUUUCAGUAGGGAAGAAGCCUUUCGAGGUGACGGUACCUGCAGAAGAAGUACCGGCUAACUACGUGCCAGCAGCCGCGGUAAUACGUGGGGUACAAGCGUUGUCCGGAAUUAUUGGGCGUAAAGAGCUCGUAGGCGGUCCGUCGCGUCUGCUGUGGAAACGCAAGGCUCAACCUUGCGCGUGCAGUGGGUACGGGCGGACUAGAGUGCAGUAGGGGAGUCUGGAAUUCCUGGUGUAGCGGUGAAAUGCGCAGAUAUCAGGAGGAACACCGGUGGCGAAGGCGGGACUCUGGGCUGUUACUGACGCUGAGGAGCGAAAGCAUGGGGAGCGAACAGGAUUAGAUACCCUGGUAGUCCAUGCCGUAAACGUUGGGCACUAGGUGUGGGGCUCAUUCCACGAGUUCCGCGCCGCAGCUAACGCAUUAAGUGCCCCGCCUGGGGAGUACGGCCGCAAGGCUAAAACUCAAAGGAAUUGACGGGGGCCCGCACAAGCGGCGGAGCAUGCGGAUUAAUUCGAUGCAACGCGAAGAACCUUACCAAGGCUUGACAUACACCGGAAUGUGCCAGAGAUGGUUCAGCCCUUUGGGCUGGUGUACAGGUGGUGCAUGGUUGUCGUCAGCUCGUGUCGUGAGAUGUUGGGUUAAGUCCCGCAACGAGCGCAACCCUCGUUCUAUGUUGCCAGCACGUGAUGGUGGGAACUCAUAGGAGACUGCCGGGGUCAACUCGGAGGAAGGUGGGGAUGACGUCAAAUCAUCAUGCCCUUUAUGUCUUGGGCUUCACGCAUGCUACAAUGGUCGGUACAAAGGGUUGCGAGACCGUGAGGUGGAGCGAAUCCCAGAAAGCCGAUCUCAGUUCGGAUCGUAGUCUGCAACUCGACUACGUGAAGUCGGAGUCGCUAGUAAUCGCAGAUCAG